rnacentral:rRNA from 1 species
GGGUGCUCGAGUGGCGAACGGGUGAGUAACACGUGAGUAACCUGCCCUUGACUUUGGGGUAACUUCAGGAAACUGGGGCUAAUACCGGAUAGGAGCUCCUGCUGCAUGGUGGGGGUUGGAAAGUUUCGGCGGUUGGGGAUGGACACGCGGCUUAUCAGCUUGUUGGUGGGUAGUGGCUUACCAAGGCUUUGACGGGUAGCCGGCCUGAGAGGGUGACCGGCCACAUUGGGACUGAGAUACGGCCCAG